rnacentral:rRNA from 1 species
GUGAGGAAUAUUGGACAAUGGGCGCAAGCCUGAUCCAGUCAUGCCGCGUGCAGGAAGACGCAUCUAUGGUGUGUAAACUGCUUUUGUACGGGAAGAAACACUCCCUCGUGAGGGAGCUUGACGGUACCGUAAGAAUAAGGAUCGGCUAACUCCGUGCCAGCAGCCGCGGUAAUACGGAGGAUCCAAGCGUUAGCCGGCAUCAUUGGGUUUAAAGGGUCCGUAGGCGGUUUAAUAAGUCAGUGGUGAAAGCCCAUCGCUCAACGAUGGAACGGCCAUUGAUACUGUUAGACUUGAAUUACAAGGAAGUAACUAGAAUAUGUAGUGUAGCGGUGAAAUGCUUAGAUAUUACAUGGAAUACCAAUUGCGAAGGCAGGUUACUACUGGUGGAUUGACGCUGAUGGACGAAAGCGUGGGGAGCGAACAGGAUUAGAUACCCCAGUAGUCC